UCGUAACAAGGUCUCCGUUGGUGAACCAGCGGAGGGAUCAUUACCGAGUUUACAACUCCCAAACCCCAAUGUGAACGUUACCAAUCUGUUGCCUCGGCGGGAUUCUCUGCCCCGGGCGCGUCGCAGCCCCGGAUCCCAUGGCGCCCGCCGGAGGACCAACUCAAACUCUUUUUUCUCUCCGUCGCGGCUUCCGUCGCGGCUCUGUUUUACCUUUGCUCUGAGCCUUUCUCGGCGACCCUAGCGGGCGUCUCGAAAAUGAAUCAAAACUUUCAACAACGGAUCUCUUGGUUCUGGCAUCGAUGAAGAACGCAGCGAAAUGCGAUAAGUAAUGUGAAUUGCAGAAUUCAGUGAAUCAUCGAAUCUUUGAACGCACAUUGCGCCCGCCAGUAUUCUGGCGGGCAUGCCUGUCCGAGCGUCAUUUCAACCCUCGAACCCCUCCGGGGGGUCGGCGUUGGGGAUCGGCCCCUCACCGGGCCGCCCCCGAAAUACAGUGGCGGUCUCGCCGCAGCCUCUCCUGCGCAGUAGUUUGCACACUCGCACCGGGAGCGCGGCGCGGCCACAGCCGUAAAACACCCCAAACUCUGAAAUGUUGACCUCGGAUCAGGUAGGAAUACCCGCUGAACUUAAGCAUAUCAAUA
rnacentral:rRNA from 1 species